rnacentral:rRNA from 1 species
AUACGUAGGGGGCGAGCGUUGUCCGGAAUGAUUGGGCGUAAAGGGCGCGUAGGCGGCCCGGUAAGUCUGGAGUGAAAGUCCUGUUUUUAAGAUGGGAAUUGCUUUGGAUACUGUCGGGCUUGAGUGCAGGAGAGGUAAGUGGAAUUCCCAGUGUAGCGGUGAAAUGCGUAGAGAUUGGGAGGAACACCAGUGGCGAAGGCGACUUACUGGACUGUAACUGACGCUGAGGCGCGAAAGUGUGGGGAGCAAACAGGAUUAGAUACCCUGGUAGUCCACGCGGUAAACGAUGAAUGCUAGGUGCUGCGGGUAUCGACCCCUGCAGUGCCGGAGUAAACACAAUAAGCAUUCCGCCUGGGGAGUACGGCCGCAAGGUUGAAACUCAAAUGAAUUGACGGGG